UACGGAGGGGGUUAGCGUUGUUCGGAAUGACUGGGCGUAAAGCGCGCGUAGGCGGAUCAUCAAGUUGGGGGUGAAAUCCCGGGGCUCAACCCCGGAAUGGCCUUCGAGACUGGUGGUCUUGAGUUCGAGAGAGGUGAGUGGAAUUCCGAGUGUAGAGGUGAAAUUCGUAGAUAUUCGGAGGAACACCAGUGGCGAAGGCGGCUCACUGGCUCGACACUGACGCUGAGGUGCGAAAGCGUGGGGAGCAAACAGG
rnacentral:rRNA from 1 species